rnacentral:rRNA from 1 species
ACGAACGCUGGCGGCGUGCUUAACACAUGCAAGUCGAACGGAAAGGCCCUGCUUUUGUGGGGUGCUCGAGUGGCGAACGGGUGAGUAACACGUGAGUAACCUGCCCUUGACUUUGGGAUAACUUCAGGAAACUGGGGCUAAUACCGGAUAGGAGCUCCUGCUGCAUGGUGGGGGUUGGAAAGUUUCGGCGGUUGGGGAUGGACUCGCGGCUUAUCAGCUUGUUGGUGGGGUAGUGGCUUACCAAGGCUUUGACGGGUAGCCGGCCUGAGAGGGUGACCGGCCACAUUGGGACUGAGAUACGGCCCAGACUCCUACGGGAGGCAGCAGUGGGGAAUAUUGCACAAUGGGCGGAAGCCUGACGCAGCAACGCCGCGUGCGGGAUGACGGCCUUCGGGUUGUAAACCGCUUUCGCCUGUGACGAAGCGUGAGUGACGGUAAUGGGUAAAGAAGCACCGGCUAACUACGUG